rnacentral:rRNA from 1 species
AUGCCGCGUGAGUGAUGAAGGCCUUAGGGUCGUAAAGCUCUUUCGCCUGUGAAGAUAAUGACUGUAUCUGGUAAAGAAACCCCGGCUAACUCCGUGCCAGCAGCCGCGGUAAUACGGAGGGGGUUAGCGUUGUUCGGAAUUACUGGGCGUAAAGCGCGCGUAGGCGGAUUGGAAAGUUGGGGGUGAAAUCCCAGGGCUCAACCCUGGAACUGCCUCCAAAACUAUCGGUCUAGAGUUCGAGAGAGGUGAGUGGAAUUCCGAGUGUAGAGGUGAAAUUCGUAGAUAUUCGGAGGAACACCAGUGGCGAAGGCGGCUCACUGGCUCGAUACUGACGCUGAGGUGCGAAAGUGUGGGGAGCAAACAGGAUUAGAUACCCUGGUAGUCCACACCGUAAACGAUGAAUGCCAGACGUCGGGUAGCAUGCUAUUCGGUGACACACCUAACGGAUUAAGCAUUCCGCCUGGGGAGUACGGUCGCAAGAUUAAAACUC